GGAGAAAAUUCAAGAAUAGUCCCUGAAUUUCUACGACUUUUACAAAUUAGUCCAGAUUGACUUGAAGUGAAGUGGGUAGAUCGGAUCAACACAACAGGGCACACUAUUCAGAUCAAUUCCGAUUGACUUGAAGUGAAGUGGGUAGAUCGGAUCAACACAACAGGGCACACUAUUCAGA